GACGAACGCUGGCGGCGUGCCUAAUACAUGCAAGUAGAACGCUGAAGCGAGGAGCUUGCUCUUCUUGGAUGAGUUGCGAACGGGUGAGUAACACGUAGGUAACCUGCCUUGUAGCGGGGGAUAACUAUUGGAAACGAUAGCUAAUACCGCAUAACAAUGGAUGACACAUGUCAUUUAUUUGAAAGGGGCAAUUGCUCCACUACAAGAUGGACCUGCGUUGUAUUAGCUAGUAGGUGAGGUAAUGGCUCACCUAGGCGACGAUACAUAGCCGACCUGAGAGGGUGAUCGGCCAAACUGGGACUGAGACACGGCCCAGAAUCCUACGGGAGGCAGCAGUAGGGAAUCUUCGGCAAUGGGGGCAACCCUGACCGAGCAACGCCGCGUGAGUGAAGAAGGUUUUCGGAUCGUAAAGCUCUGUUGUAAGUCAAGAACGGGUGUGAGAGUGGAAAGUUCACACUGUGACGGUAGCUUACCAGAAAGGGACGGCUAACUACGUG
rnacentral:rRNA from 1 species